AAAAAAGUUUUGGGUGGCGUUCCCUUUUAUCAGAAUGCUUACAGAGGUGUGACAGUGACUCCAUCUGCCGAGGGCCUUGCAGAUGGGCUGGUCCCCCAGUAUUUACUCCAAGAAGGAAUCGUCAUUUAGAGGAAAUCAGCUCCCAAGUCACCAGCCACAGGCGUGCCAUGAAACAUCUAGACAUUCUUCCUUCCCGUGGGCCAAAAGCAUUUGAAGUUUUCCUGGAUUCUUUACGUGAAUUUCCCUGGGUGAGAACUUGGUAAAGCUUAGUAAAGAUGCCGCCAUUGAUAUUCCAGGAGGAAGGACGCUGGAGUUUCCAUCUAAAUUCCAUCACAGCUGUCCUACUGAAAAGUAAUUGAACCUCCUGGCAGGGAAGUUGGGGCCAGAGUGGGAGCAGAUACUUGUGCAUCUGGGCUUGGACCAGACUGACCUGUACAGGUGUAAUGAGCAGAACUGUAACAGUAUGCAAUCGCAAAUAGUGGAAAGUCUGGUGUUGCAGCUAUGGCAAGCAGCAGAGGCAGACUUGUCUGUUAUGCAGUAUAACUAUAGGCAAAAAUGUGCCCUUGUCUGCAACCCAUCAGUGUGCUUUAACUGUAUUAAAUGCCUAUAAGCUGGUUGCUAUAGGUUAAAAAGGCGAACCUUUGACCAUGAUUAUAACCCUCUAUAUAUGAACAUUAAUGUCACUCUCACACCUGCAUAAGACUGUUUGUAGGACCCCUACUAAUCCUCAGGUAAAUGCAUCCCAUUGUUUUUACCCUGAAGCUAGUCCAUGGACGGUAGUACAUAGUAGUAUGUAACAGGAACAAUCCUUUACAUUUACUAACAUGCUGUACAGAAAGAUAUUCCAAUCCAAUUCAAGUUUAGGUAUUCCCCUGUACUGAGCUGAACAUUGUCAUGAUGACUUAAAGUGGCAGUAUAUACCUAUAUACACCACUGUGCAACAUGAUAACAUGAAAUGGAACUUGUGGUUCUUCUAUUUCAAUGGAAAAUUGUUUUGUUUUUAACUUAACUAUCUUCCCUCGCCCUCCCUAAUCCUCCAAGUUUAUUGAAAUAUUAUAAGUGAGCUCUAUAUAAAAACCCCAGUCAUUCUCCCAGCUGCAAAAGGUUCAGAUAAGAAGGGGUUCAUUAUACAGAGGGCUUAUCUGUUUCUCACAAAAAUCAGGAAUUUGCAAAGUGAAAGAGCUUUAAUUUUCAGUCAUUGAUCUUUUUAGUGCCAGAUAUAACAAAACCAUAGAUACAGUAUUUCUUCACACCAUCAUUUAUUUUUACAUUUUUUUUAGUUAUCAGAAAUAUAAUCUUACAUCAUUGUACAUGGAAUCAAUAAUAAAACUUGCUGUAAUUACAA